UACGAAGGGGGCUAGCGUUGUUCGGAGUUAUUGGGCGUAAAGAGCUCGUAGGCGGUUCGUCGCGUCGGCUGUGAAAUCCCGAGGCUCAACCUCGGGUCUGCAGUCGAUACGGGCGGACUGGAGUACUGCAGGGGAGACUGGAAUUCCGGGUGUAGUGGUGAAAUGCGUAGAUAUCCGGAGGAACACCAAAGGCGAAGGCACUGUCCUGGGGAGCUUCUGACGCUCAGGUGCGAAAGCCAGGGGAGCGAACGGG
rnacentral:rRNA from 1 species